rnacentral:tRNA from 1 species
UCCAUGUAGCUUAAUUGGGAAAGGAUCUGCCUGCAGUGCAGGAGACCCAGGUUUGAUUCCUGGGUCAGGAA